AUCUAUCUAUCUAUCUAUCUCUAACUCUCGCAGCCUCUGUGUAUACAGUACAUAUGUCUGUUUGUGUCUGUUUGCGUUGCAAUGGCCACCAAACAUAAACUUGACUCACAGGAUCCCCACUACCAAGAGGGGAGACGCAUGGCUCAUGAACUGAAACUAGACCGUGUUCUAGCUGAAGCCAGGACAGCAGCUGUGGAGAGAAAACGUGCACGCUCUGUAGGAGACCCUCCACAGACCUCUAAAAGGGAGUUUUUAGGACAUGGCAAGCCGAGGGGGAGGCAAGGAGGCCGACGCCAAGCUUCAGCUACAGUCACACACACCCCGGUUGAAUGCUCCCUUUCAUCCAGUGUGGAGGUUCCACUUACUGUACCCUCAGCAGAACUAAAUCCUCACGAGCAAUUUGAAAAAAAUAUGGAGAGGCUCUCCGAUAUUUUGACGUCUUAUCCUUCUGCUGAGCCUCAGAAAAGCUCUGCAUCAUCAUGGUCUUUUCGGCAGCAGAAAGCCUCAGAGCGCUGGAAAGAAGCAAGACCAUACCACCUAAAAUGCCUUAUUGCAAAAGAGGCUGUUGGUCAGCCAUUGUGUUGGCUUUGCCAUGAGCCUGCUGUUAUUAGGUGCAGAAAGUGUCUUCCUGAGGAGUGGUUCUGUGGGGACUGUGAUGUAUUGCAUCACAAAAAACAGCCACUCCACAACAGGGAAUGUGUGAAUAAUGUUUUUUUUUAAGCCAUUCCUCCAACCUCAUGUGUCAUUAAGGGCAAGAUGGAUAUUUCAUCCAUGAGCAAGCUUGCAUUUUGCCAACAGUGAAGGCGCCAGACUGCUCCUGUGAAGGCACAAACUUCACCAUAUUACCGGGCAAACCAGUGAUUUUAAUUACCAUCAAUGGGCGUUUUGACUUGCAUCAGCCACUAUAUGUAUGUCAAAUGUGCCAGCAUCAGUGGAUCCCUGACUUGAAGGACCUCCUUAGGAGUGGAUAUUGGCCUGCCUCUGUCACCAGUUCCACACUUUAUACAUUGGACCUCCUGAGCUCCUUUCAGGAACUCAAGGUCAUCUCUCCGGGAUUCUCCAGACAAGCCUUCGCAAAGCUGCUGGACUAUCGCACUAAGAUUGGAGGAAGAUCUGGACAAAUCAACGGCGAUACACUACAGCGCAGCUUGUUAGAGUUUUCAUAUGCUUCAUUUG